AGAGUUUGAUCCUGGCUCAGAGUUAACGCUGGCGGCGUGCCUAACACAUGCAAGUCGAGCGAAGAGUACCAGAGUACCGGGCUCUUAGCGGCAGACGGGUGAGUAAUACUUAAACAAUCUGCCCUCGAAUGGGAGACAACCAAGCGAAAGUUUGGCUAAUACCCCAUACAAUCCUCUUGAGGCAUCUCAAGGGGAUGAAAGGCCCGCAAGGGUCGUUCGAGGAGGAGUUUGAGUCCUAUCAGCUAGUUGGCGGUGUAACAGACCACCAAGGCUAUGACGGGUAGCCGAUCUAAAAGGAUGACCGGCCACAAGGGCACUGAGACACGGGCCCUACUCCUACGGGGGGCAGCAGUGGGGAAUUUUGGACAAUGGACGAAAGUCUGAUCCAGCGACGCCGCGUGAAGGACGAAGGUUUUCGGAUCGUAAACUUCUUUUGCGGGGGACGAAUACGCGCAAGCGUUUGACGGUACCCUGCGAAUAAGCCACGGCUAACUACGUGCCAGCAGCCGCGGUA
rnacentral:rRNA from 1 species